GGCUGCUUUCUCACACUCCUACACCCAAUGCCGGCCUCCGUGCACCAUAUGAUCGCUUUGCUUUGAAAUCGCCUUUCUUUUCUCCAUCGCUUCAUCUCUUGCUUCCUUCUCGUCUUCCCACUAACACUGUUUCAACUGCAACAAGGUUUUCCAAGCGUGUGGCUUCCAAGCAAGCUUAUAUUUACCGUGAUUGCCGGUACACACCUCCCUGUUUUGAUCUUAUUAAUUGCCACUUCAGUUCUUGAAUUUAUUUAUCCUUUGGACGAUUGUUGCAGGUAUAUAUAUAAUGAGAGGACUCCCUUUGAGAAAGUUCCUGAUAGUUAUUGUCCUGUAUGUGGUGCUCCAAAGAGGAGAUUCAAGCCAUAUCAGACAAAGAUGUGAGAAAGGCUCGAAAAGAACAAUUGAAAAGAGAUGAAGCUGUUGGGAAGUUGAGAUUGUGGUUGGAAUUGCUGUACUUGCCGGUUUAUACUUUUAUCUCAACAAUACCGUCGUCGGCUGAAUGAAAUCGACUAAUUUUGUCAAAUUUCU